GACGAACGCUGGCGGCGUGCUUAACACAUGCAAGUCGAACGGUAAGGCCUUUCGGGGUUGUACGACUGGCGAACGGGUGAGUAACACGUGAGCAACCUACCCUUGACUUCGGUUUAGCAGCUGGUAACAGCUCCUAAUACCGUAUAGGACCCUGGUCCCCCUUGCCUGGGGUGGAAAGGUCCGGGGGGCAGGGUUGGGCUCGCGGCCUGGCAGCUUGUUGGGUGGGUAAGGGGUUACCAAGGCUUCGACGGGUAGGCGGCCUGGGAGGGGGGACCGCCACACUGGGACUUAGAUAAGGCCCCGACUCCCAAGGGGGGGAGCAGGGGGGAAAAUUGGCCCAUGGGCGCGAGCCUGAUGCAGCAACGCCGCGGGGGGGAUGACGGGCUUCGGGUUGUAAACCGCUUUCAGUAGGGACGAAGCCACAAGUGACGGUAACUACAGAAGAAGGACCGGCUAACUACGUG
rnacentral:rRNA from 1 species